AUUGAACGCUGGCGGCAGGCUUAACACAUGCAAGUCGAGCGGGGUGAUGGUGCUUGCACUAUCACUUAGCGGCGGACGGGCGAGUAAUGCUCAGGAAUCUGCCUAUUAGUGGGGGACAACAUCUCGAAAGGGAUGCUAAUACCGCAUACGUCCUACGGGAGAAAGCAGGGGAUCACUUGUGACCUUGCGCUAAUAGAUGGGCCUAAGUCGGAUUAGCUAGUUGGUGGGGUAAAGGCCUACCAAGGCGACGAUCUGUAGCGGGUCUGAGAGGAUGAUCCGCCACACUGGGACUGAGACACGGCCCAGACUCCUACGGGAGGCAGCAGUGGGGAAUAUUGGACAAUGGGGGGAACCCUGAUCCAGCCAUGCCGCGUGUGUGAAGAAGGCCUUAUGGUUGUAAAGCACUUUAAGCGAGGAGGAGGCUCUUUUGGUUAAUACCCAAGAUGAGUGGACGUUACUCGCAGAAUAAGCACCGGCUAACUCUGUGCCAGCAGCCGCGGUAA
rnacentral:rRNA from 1 species